rnacentral:misc_RNA from 1 species
AUUAAAAAAAAAAAAAAAAAUCAAGGGGUGUAUUUCCUGGGUUUCAAAAGUUGACAUGGUAAACAAAUGUCAUCUAGGACGUGUUAAUACGUUAGCUGUGUAGAACUCAUUUCCACUUCACUGGACUUUCCUUCUGCUAUCCUCAUUAACUCUUGCUACUCUAGUCUUCUUGUUUUCUGAAGAAAAACUAACAAAAAUUGCUUCCUUCUAUAGUCCACCCCAUUUCAUGAACUUCUUGAUCUCAUCAUACAAAACCAAUAUGGCAGCAGCUCCUGUACUCCUAAACAUAUUUGACAGUGCCCCGCGAUAAAAUGAGGCCACCCCCUCUGUCCUGUAAAUUUUCCUCCAGCAGUCAAGUGUGCCACGAUACAUUGGCUGUUCCAGGCCAGAUUGCAUCAUCAUUCGCCUUCUAACUGUGUCCAACGGGUAUGACAACAGCCCAGCAGAUGUUGUGACUGCUUGAGCCACCACCCAACGCUUCCACAAUGCCAAUUCAGGUUUAGCAUCAUUAGACAAAAUCUCCUUCAUUGUAUCAAAGCCUCCAAAAUAUAGGCCCCGGUGAACUACCAUCCCGUGCAGAGAUGCAGGAAGUCCUCUAUAAAUUCCCGGAAUCCCUUCUUUCUUGCAUAUGGUAGUUAAAAAAUGGUAGAUACCUCGGAAUUGUCGAACAUCAGUUCUUCCAAUGUCAGCAGCAAGGCGGGUGUGUGCAAUAUCAAGUGGAUAGAUUAAGAUUAAUGUUGUGCAGCCAGCAGCAGCCCCCGCAAUGAAAUUGGCAGAUGCACCAGACAGAAAAUGACCAUCUUGAUGAUUGCCAUUUCUUAGUAUGUUUCUAUAAAGAUCCUGCAGCAAAAGUGGUACAUAAGACCAUACAACUGUUGCAGCAUAACAUAAACCAACCAAAUAGAGAUGUUUCUGAUUUAGUUUGAAUUUUUUAAUCAACAGAGAAUUAGGCGGUUCACAGGCCAAAUUGGUUCUAUCACAUUUUAGUUAUUAUCUUUAAUCAGAUUUCAAAGAUUUGCUAAUGCCAUGACCAGUGACACUUUGGACUUGGUUACUGAGAAUUGCUACCAAACUACUCUUCCAGGACACCAAAAUGGAUUGGUACUAAUGAAUAAUUCAGUCGCACUUUCAAGAGCUAUGAAUUCAAGAGCUACUGUAUUGUGACCUAGAAUUGGUAAGUAUAUCUUAUGUCAUAUAACUCUAGGCACCAUAAGCUUCAGCUCCAAUAUAGGUGUGAAGGUCCCUUACGAUACAUGUGGAUGCAAAAAGCAUAAUAAUUUUUACGGAGAAUAUGGGGCUGCCUACUUAUCUUCCACUUUGUGCACAAAAAUUAAAUAAUAAUACAAGACAAAUUUCAUCUCUUCAAAGUUUAAGCUGAACAGCAAUCGGCUGGACCAAACCUAUGAAAUCUUGCAAUCAACUGAAAUGCCUAUAGAGAACAAUGGCUAACCUAACUUCAUGCCCUAAGAAAAAGAUUCUGUACUCUUGUGUCCCUGACUAUACAAAAGCAUCACAGAGCAUUGAAAAGUUUAACUUGGUGAAAUAAAAGUCAAACAACCAACCUGAAAUGGGUGGAAGGUUUUAUAGAUUCUUUAAGACAUUCAAUAUCAGAGAAAUUUGUAAGUUUAAUUGUAUAUCAUUUGCACUCUUUACUCCCUUUCAUUCAUAAAAAAUGUAUUUAUUCAAGCUUUCCAAGGCAAUUAUUUUAUCUUUAUUUAAUAAAUAUUACUGAUGUAGAACCAAUAUAACAAAGAGGAAGAUAAACAAAUUCUUAAGUCUAUCGUCAAUCAUAGAAAAGAUCUACCAUGAUACCUGGAGGAUAUAGAUACUUAUAGUAAAAUUAUUUAUCGACUAGUAUUAGGAUUUGGAAUCCUUAACAAGAAAAUACCAAUUAAAUAAUAAUUAAGAACCCAAAAUCAACUCAAACUUCCUAAAUAAAAUUUCCAAAAUAAUAAAAACAUAAACUUCCUAAUUGCAAUAUAACAUCUGAAUGAAAAGAUCCUAAUUUUACUAUUAAAAAUUAAAUAAAAAUAAUUCCUACGUCUAGUUUUCCUAAACUGCAUCAACUUCAAAUGGCCACAAACUGACUUUAAAUGCUGACCACAAAUACAAAAGAUUGCUUCUUAGCAUAAAGUCAGCUUUCUCCAAGUAAGCAUUUUGUUGAUACAGACACAUAAUUGAAAAGCUUAAACUUUGACAAGGUAUAUUUAUUUAUCUUUUAGAAACAUGAAGCUACACCACCAGCAGGGACAUAAGCAAUCAGUAAUAUGUGGUAUAGAAUCGAAUAUGUUUGCACAUUAACAAAUGCUUACCUAUAAAGCUGCUCAACAAGCA